ACGUAGGGUGCAAGCGUUAAUCGGAAUUACUGGGCGUAAAGCGUGCGCAGGCGGCUUUGCAAGACAGAUGUGAAAUCCCCGGGCUCAACCUGGGAACUGCAUUUGUGACUGCAUGGCUGGAGUGCGGCAGAGGGGGAUGGAAUUCCGCGUGUAGCAGUGAAAUGCGUAGAUAUGCGGAGGAACACCGAUGGCGAAGGCAAUCCCCUGGGCCUGCACUGACGCUCAUGCACGAAAGCGUGGGGAGCAAACAGGAUUAGAUACCCUGGUAGUCCACGCCCUAAACGAUGUCAACUGGUUGUUGGACGGCUUGCUGUUCGGUAACGAAGCUAACGCGUGAAGUUGACCGCCUGGGGAGUACGGCCGCAAGGUUG
rnacentral:rRNA from 1 species